GACGAAUGCUGGCUGCGUGCUUAACACAUGCAAGUCGAACGGUGAAGGGGAGCUUGCUCCCCGGAUCAGUGGCGAACGGGUGAGUAACACGUGGGCAACCUGCCCCUCACUCUGGGAUAACUCCGGGAAACCGGGGCUAAUACCGGAUACGACCGGGAGCGACAUCGCUCCUGGUGGAAAGAACUUCGGUGAGGGAUGGGCCCGCGGCCUAUCAGCUAGUUGGUGGGGUAACGGCCCACCAAGGCGACGACGGGUAGCCGGCCUGAGAGGGCGAGCGGCCACACUGGGACUGAGACACGGCCCAGACUCCUACGGGAGGCAGCAGUGGGGUAUAUUGCGCAAUGGGCGAAAGCCUGACGCAGCGACGCAGCGUGAGGGACGAAGGCCUUCGGGUUGUAAACCUCUUUCAGCGGGGACGAAGCGAAAGUGACGGUACCCGCAGAAGAAGCACCGGCUAACUACGUGCCAGCAGCCGCCGUAAUAC
rnacentral:rRNA from 1 species